GAUGAACGCUGGCGGCAGGCCUAAUACAUGCAAGCCGAACGGCAAGUUUGAUAGCAAUAUUGGGCCUAGAGUGGCGCAAGGGUGCGUAACACGUAUGCAACCUGCCCGCGACAGGAGGAUAGCUCCCCGAAAGGGGAAUUAACCCUCCAUAACACCAUGAGAAGGCAUCUGAUUAUGGUUAAACCGCAAGGGGUCGCGGAUGGGCAUGCGGUUGAUUAGCUAGUUGGCGGGGUAAAGGCCCACCAGGGCGGUGAUCAAUAGGGGUUCAGAGAGGAAGGUCCCCAACACUGGUACUGAGAGACGGGCCAGACUCCUACGGGAGGCAGCAGUAGGGAAUAUUCGACGAUGGUUGGAAGACUGAUCCAGCCAUGCCGCGUGCAGGAAGAAGGCCGUCUGGGUCGUAAACUGCUUUUUCCUGUGGAUAAAAUACCCGUGCGCGGGGAAUUGAAGGUAACAGGGGAAUAAGCCACGGCUAACUACGUG
rnacentral:rRNA from 1 species